UUCCCUCAAUUAUGCCAGUGGAUCAUUCAUAUACCCUUGAUCUCAGUUCCAAUAUACUUGAAGGAAACAUACCAAUUGUACCAACUGUAAAAGAAAGAAAUGAACUCAUGGGCCCUAAAGGGAGUACUACCUUGGAUUACUCAAAUAAUUCCUUCACUUCCGUUUCACCUAACUUUGGCAAGUAUCUCAGAGAAACAAUAUUUCUUGAUUUGUCCAAGAACAAACUGG
rnacentral:lncRNA from 1 species